UACGUAGGCAGCGAGCGUUGUUCGGAAUUACUGGGCGUAAAGAGUGUGUAGGCGGUGCUCCCAGUCUGUUGUGAAAUCUCCCGGCUUAACUGGGAGGGUGCAGCGGAAACUAGAGUGCUAGAGGGUGGGAGAGGUAAGCGGAAUUCCUGGUGUAGCGGUGAAAUGCGCAGAUAUCAGGAGGAACACCAAUGGCGAAGGCAGCUCGCUGGGACGUGACUGACGCUGAGACGCGAAAGCGUGGGGAGCGAACAGG
rnacentral:rRNA from 1 species